GGAAAGGUGAUUAAUUUUUAGGCUUCUUCAUCAAUUCUCUUUAAGUCGCCAUUUCUUUUGUUUUUGGUUAAUAAUUAGUCUUUAUGAAAUUAUUUUUAACUACCUUUCGAACAAGAAAAAGAGUUGGUCAAAUUUGGCUAAUGAGCUUUUUUAUAGACAAGGAACAUGUUGUGUGUGAUUUAGCAUGAGGGGUAUUACCACAUAGCUGAGAAAAAGUCAAUUUCUUUGACACAUGUAAUAGAAGAAAUAAAAUACAAUUGCUUUUGAUGUUUUUCACUUAUUGUUUAGUGGUUCUCAUUCUCAAUAUUGUAGUGUUUACUCUAUGGGUAUUAAUUUGUUUUAGUUAAUUUUCUGAUUGAGAGAUUCAGGAUUGUUGUGUGAUAUUCAAUGUGACAUUUCUUAGUAUAAAAGGGCUGAUUUAAUGAUUUCACCCUCAAAACUUACCCACACUUUGCUAAUGUAUGCACUUUUAUGCAUCUGGAAACUGUUUUGUUGCAGAAGUUUCAAAGAAGAAAAAGAA
rnacentral:misc_RNA from 1 species